rnacentral:rRNA from 1 species
CCCGAGGCUCAACCUCGGGUCUGCAGUGGGUACGGGCAGACUAGAGUGCGGUAGGGGAGAUUGGAAUUCCUGGUGUAGCGGUGGAAUGCGCAGAUAUCAGGAGGAACACCGAUGGCGAAGGCAGAUCUCUGGGCCGUAACUGACGCUGAGGAGCGAAAGCAUGGGGAGCGAACAGGAUUAGAUACCCUGGUAGUCCAUGCCGUAAACGUUGGGAACUAGAUGUGGGGACCAUUCCACGGUCUCCGUGUCGCAGCUAACGCAUUAAGUUCCCCGCCUGGGGAGUACGGCCGCAAGGCUAAAACUCAAAGGAAUUGACGGGGGCCCGCACAAGCGGCGGAGCAUGCGGAUUAAUUCGAUGCAACGCGAAGAACCUUACCAAGGCUUGACAUAUACCGGAAACAUGCAGAGAUGUGUGCCCCGCAAGGUCGGUAUACAGGUGGUGCAUGGUUGUCGUCAGCUCGUGUCGUGAGAUGUUGGGUUAAGUCCCGCAACGAGCGCAACCCUCGUUCUAUGUUGCCAGCACGUAAUGGUGGGAACUCAUAGGAGACUGCCGGGGUCAACUCGGAGGAAGGUGGGGAUGACGUCAAAUCAUCAUGCCCCUUAUGUCUUGGGCUUCACGCAUGCUACAAUGGCCGGUACAAAGGGCUGCGAUACCGUAAGGUGGAGCGAAUCCCAAAAAGCCGGUCUCAGUUCGGAUUGAGGUCUGCAACUCGACCUCAUGAAGUCGGAGUCGCUAGUAAUCGCAGAUCAGCAACGCUGCGGUGAAUACGUUCCCGGGCCUUGUACACACCGCCCGUCAAGUCAUGAAAGUCGGUAACACCCGAAGCCAGUGGCCUAACCGCAAGGGAGGAGCUGUCGAAGGUGGGAUCGGUGAUUAGGACUAAGUCGUAACAAGGUAGCCGUACCGGAAGGUGCGGCUGGAUCACCUCCUUUCUAAGGA